AACGCACAUUGCGCUCUCUGGUAUUCCGGGGAGCAUGCCUGUUUGAGAAUCAGUAAAUUCAUCAACCGUGGUGAUCUGCCCUUAACUGUGGUUUGGUCUCCCUGGUUGGAUAUGGGCUUUUUGCGCCUGGCGCAAUUGCCUGAAAUACAAUGUCAUUGAACCUGAAUCUUCGGUCCGGGUUUCAAGCGCAUGAGGAGUUAAUUCUCUUUCUACGUCUUGUUAACUGGGUCGCGGAAGAAGGAGUUGGUGACUCAACUAUUACACAGGGUGAUCUCGAGAGGGAUUGCUCUGAACACUUGGUCUCAAAUCAGGUAGGAAAACCCGCUGAACUUAA
rnacentral:misc_RNA from 1 species